ensembl:lncRNA NIFK-AS1 NIFK antisense RNA 1
GGCCUGGCCGUGUUAGGCUUCGCUGGCGUAAAGUCCCCGGGAGCUUUGCCCCUCACGGAGAACGUUAGUUGACCCUGAUGGGGACCCGUAGGGUAAAGGUUUUGUUUUUGUUUUUUUUUACGGAAAAGGUUGUGGUUAGGCCCCUUGGAAAGUUGCGACAAAACUCGAGUUAGACAAGGAAGGUCGGAACUAAGUGGCCACAGCAACAAUGCACCAGCAAGCAGGGAGCGUGAUAGGAAGAGCUAAAGAGGAAUCGGGAAACCCUGGAGAUGGGUUUCACCAUGUUUCCCAGCCUUGUCUCAAACUCCUGACCUCAAGUGAUCCGCCGUCUUGGGUCUUCGAAAGUGCUGGGACAGCAGGAGUGAGCCACCGCAUCUGGCCCGGAAAGUGUUUUGGAGCGUAGAAAAAUGCAAAUUAUAGGGCUGCCUUCAAGGAUCCCGAAGGACCCACAGAUUUGCCGCAUCAGGCUCCUAUGCACGCCGAAAUGCCCAGGAGGAUUGACGAGAUUGAGGUCAAGAUCGUGGCCCAGUGUGUGGCGCUCCAAGCCAGCUCUUCCCCUUUCAAAACCAGAAAAGCCGCAUGUUUAGAUCGCUCUAGGAGAUUCAUCUCCAUUACGAUACAGGUGGGUAAUGAGUUUCCCUCAUAAACUUUUUUUUUCUUUUCUUUUUUAUUUAAUUUUCACAUCAGAUAUGUAAUGUGCCAAGGUAGUAACAAGGUUUGAGGGAGGCACAUCUCACACGAAUGUGAAAACUCAAAAGAUCUAAACUAAGUUUUGAAACAAAUCCACAAGUGGGUUUUUCCUCCACAGGGUAAGAUUUUCUCCACAUGUUUUGACUUGGGUGCAUGGGCGUUGCCUUCCCUGCCUGUGGCCUUCAAAAGACCAUGGGUGCGAAGUCCAAGCUUUGACUCUUCUGCCUAUGAUUCUCUGUCAAAUGAGAGGCCAAAAUUAAAACCACAAUGAGGUAUCACUAAACACCCACUAGAGUGGCUAAAAUUGAAAAUUCUGACUAUACAAAAUAUUGGCAAGGAUGUAGAGCGACUGGGACUCCCAUACAUUGCUGUUGGAAAUAGUUUGGCAGGUUCCUAUAAAGUUAGAAUAAAUUUAUCAUAUAACCCAGAGAUCCAACUUGUACGUAUUUAUCCAAGAGAAAUAAAAACAUAUGUUCAUUCAAA